rnacentral:hammerhead_ribozyme from 1 species
GCACCACUGAUGAGACUCAGCCAGGUCGAAACAGCUGUCUGGUGC